UACGUAGGGGGCAAGCGUUGUCCGGAUUUAUUGGGCGUAAAGAGCGUGUAGGCGGCUAGAUAGGUCCGUUGUGAAAACUCGAGGCUCAACCUCGAGACGUCGAUGGAAACCAUCUAGCUAGAGUCCGGAAGAGGCGAGUGGAAUUCCUGGUGUAGCGGUGAAAUGCGCAGAUAUCAGGAGGAACACCAAUGGCGAAGGCAGCUCGCUGGGACGGUACUGACGCUGAGACGCGAAAGCGUGGGGAGCAAACAGG
rnacentral:rRNA from 1 species